GGGAAUCUCAGCGCAGCUCGCAUGAGGGAGUGGCUAGCCUACCACGCGCAUUUCUUCGGACCCGCCUCGCACUUCGUGCUUCACGACGCCGGUGGUGUCAGCCCGGAGGUCAGGGCGGUGCUGGAUCCGUGGGUCCGGGCGGGCCGGGUCACCGUCCAGGACAUCCGGGCGCAGGCGGAGUACGACGGCUACUACUACAACCAGUUCUUGGUGGUGAACGAUUGCCUCCACCGCUACCGGCACGCCGCGAAUUGGACCUUCUUCUUCGAUG
rnacentral:lncRNA from 1 species